rnacentral:rRNA from 1 species
GAUGAACGCUGGCGGCGUGCCUAAUACAUGCAAGUCGAGCGAACGGACGAGAAGCUUGCUUCUCUGAUGUUAGCGGCGGACGGGUGAGUAACACGUGGAUAACCUACCUAUAAGACUGGGAUAACUUCGGGAAACCGGAGCUAAUACCGGAUGAUAUUUUGAACCGCAUGGUUCAAAAGUGAAAGACGGUCUUGCUGUCACUUAUAGAUGGAUCCGCGCUGUAUUAGCUAGUUGGUAAGGUAACGGCUUACCAAGGCAACGAUGCAUGGCCGACCUGAGAGGGUGAUCGGCCACACUGGAACUGAGACACGGUCCAGACUCCUACGGGAGGCAGCAGUAGGGAAUCUUCCGCAAUGGGCGAAAGCCUGACGGAGCAACGCCGCGUGAGUGAUGAAGGUCUUCGGAUCGUAAAACUCUGUUAUUAGGGAAGAACAUAUGUGUAAGUAACUGUGCACAUCUUGACGGUACCUAAUCAGAAAGCCACAGCUAACUACGUG